rnacentral:rRNA from 1 species
UACGUAGGUGGCAAGCGUUGUCCGGAUUUAUUGGGUUUAAAGGGUGCGUAGGCGGUCCUAUAAGUCAGUGCUGAAAUAUCCCGGCUUAACCGGGAGGGUGGCAUUGAUACUGCAGGACUUGAGUGAAGUCGAAGUAGGCGGAAUUGACGGUGUAGCGGUGAAAUGCUUAGAUAUCGUCAAGAACACCGAUAGUGAAGACAGCUUACUAGACUUCAACUGACGCUGAGGCACGAAAGUGUGGGGAUCAAACAGG